AUGACCACAUCACGUUGAAACAUUGAUUCCCAUACGAUCACGGAAGUUAAGCAACACUGAGCCUGGUCAGUACCUAGAUGGUUGACCGUUUGGAUGUGCGGGUGGUGUA